rnacentral:rRNA from 1 species
UACGUAGGGUCCGAGCGUUGUCCGGAAUUAUUGGGCGUAAAGGGCUCGUAGGCGGUUUGUCGCGUCGGGAGUGAAAACCAGGUGCUUAACACCUGGCCUGCUUUCGAUACGGGCAGACUAGAGGCAUUCAGGGGAGAACGGGAAUUCCUGGUGUAGCGGUGAAAUGCGCAGAUAUCAGGAGGAACACCGGUGGCGAAGGCGGUUCUCUGGGAAUGUCCUGACGCUGAGGAGCGAAAGUGUGGGGAGCGAACAGG